CCUACGGGGAGCAGCAGUCGAGAAUCAUUCACAAUGGGGUAAACCCUGAUGGUGCGACGCCGCGUGGGGGAAUGAAGGUCUUCGGAUUGUAAACCCCUGUCAUGUGGGAGCAAAUUAAAAAGAUAGUAACACAAGAGGAAGAGACGGAUAACGAUGUACCAGCAGCCGCGGUAAUACAGCGGGCUCAAGCGUUGGUCGGAAUCACUGGGCGUAAAGCGUGCGUAGGCUUUUUCGUAAGUCGUGAGGGAAAGGCGUGAGCGCAACCCGCGGACGGCAAAUGAUACUGGGAGACUAGAGUAAUGGAGGGGUAACCGGAAUUCGCGGUGUAGCAGUGAAAUGCGUAGAUAUC
rnacentral:rRNA from 1 species